CAGUCGCCACGGUAAUACAGAGGGUGCAAGCGUUAAUCGGAAUUACUGGGCGUAAAGCGCGCGUAGGUGGUUUGUUAAGUUGGAUGUGAAAUCCCCGGGCUCAACCUCGGAACUGCAUCCAAAACUGGCAAGCUAGAGUAUGGUAGAGGGUGGUGGAAUUUCCUGUGUAGCGGUGAAAUGCGUAGAUAUAGGAAGGAACACCAGUGGCGAAGGCGACCACCUGGACUGAUACUGACACUGAGGUGCGAAAGCGUGGGGAGCAAACAGGAUUAGAUACCCCCGUAGUCCCUGUCUCUUAUAC
rnacentral:rRNA from 1 species